UACGGAGGAUCCAAGCGUUAUCCGGAAUCAUUGGGUUUAAAGGGUCCGUAGGCGGUUUAAUAAGUCAGUGGUGAAAGCCCAUCGCUCAACGGUGGAACGGCCAUUGAUACUGUUAAACUUGAAUUAUUAGGAAGUAACUAGAAUAUGUAGUGUAGCGGUGAAAUGCUUAGAGAUUACAUGGAAUACCAAUUGCGAAGGCAGCUGGCUACACAAAUAUUGACACUGAUGCACGAAAGCGUGGGGAUCAAACAGG
rnacentral:rRNA from 1 species